rnacentral:rRNA from 1 species
GGACCCGCAAAAGCGGCGGAGCAUGCGGAUUAAUUCGAUGCAACGCGAAGAACCUUACCAAGGCUUGACAUACACCAGAACGGGCCAGAAAUGGUCAACUCUUUGGACACUGGUGAACAGGUGGUGCAUGGUUGUCGUCAGCUCGUGUCGUGAGAUGUUGGGUUAAGUCCCGCAACGAGCGCAACCCUCGUUCUAUGUUGCCAGCACGUUAUGGUGGGAACUCAUGGGAUACUGCCGGGGUCAACUCGGAGGAAGGUGGGGAUGACGUCAAAUCAUCAUGCCCCUUAUGUCUUGGGCUUCACGCAUGCUACAAUGGCCGGUACAAUGGGCUGCGAUACCGCGAGGUGGAGCGAAUCCCAAAAAGCCGGUCCCAGUUCGGAUUGAGGUCUGCAACUCGACCUCAUGAAGUCGGAGUCGCUAGUAA